AGAGGGUGCGAGCGUUAAUCGGAAUUACUGGGCGUAAAGGGUGCGUAGGCGGAUGAAUAAGUUAGAUGUGAAAGUCCUGGGCUUAACCUAGGGAUUGCAUAUAAUACUGUUGAUCUGGAGUGAAGUAGAGGGUGGCGGAAUUUCCGGUGUAGCGGUGAAAUGCGUAGAUAUCGGAAAGAACACCAGUGGCGAAGGCGGCCACCUGGACUUCAACUGACGCUGAGGCACGAAAGCGUGGGUAGCGAACAGGAUUAGAUACCCUGGUAGUCCACGCUGUAAACGAUGAAGACUAGCUGUUGGGACCUUGGUUUCAGUAGCGCAGCAAACGCAAUAAGUUUUCCGCCUGGGGAUACGGCCGCAAGGUUA
rnacentral:rRNA from 1 species